UACGUAGGGUGCAAGCGUUAAUCGGAAUUACUGGGCGUAAAGCGUGCGCAGGCGGCUUUGCAAGACAGAUGUGAAAUCUCCGGGCUUAACUCGGAAAGGUCAACUGAUACUGUGCGGCUAGAGUGCAGAAGGGGCAACUGGAAUUCUCGGUGUAGCGGUGAAAUGCGUAGAUAUCGAGAGGAACACCUGCGGCGAAGGCGGGUUGCUGGGCUGACACUGACGCUGAUGCGCGAAAGCCAGGGGAGCGAACGGG
rnacentral:rRNA from 1 species